CUUAUCAUUAAUAAACUAGGGCUACCAGUAAACAUUAAUCACAUUAAUAUCAUGGUAAUAAUAAGGAUAAGAAAUUCAGAGCCGUUGAGAAACUAAAAUAACGAAACUGUAACCUUUCUUAGGAAAGAUGUUAUUUUCUUAUUUUUGACAAUGGUGGACAUUGACAUAUAUGCCUUUAUUUUAGCAUACAUAAUAUUUUACUUGUUAAAAGUACUACGCUAUUUACUUUAAAUUGUAGGGAAAAAUCUCAUGAAUAUUAAUAUACGUAAUUACGUCACUCGACUGUAACGCCAUCUGGCACGUAAUCAAAACCGUUUGCGUAAUCUAAUUAACAUUCAUGAGCUCGACCUUGGACGACGUUGUUUGUUAGUAGCGUUUCUAGUUUCUCAACCUAGCAGGCAAAGCAUGGAUAAAUAAAUUUAUUUCAGAACAAAACGACACUUAUGUGUUUAGAAACCCGUAUAUGCUGUAAGUUAUAUGUCUCACAGUAAAUUUAAAACAAAAGUUUAAGAUAAUGCAGACGCAACGGCUUUAAGAAGAAGUCAUCAAGAAGUGAAAAACGGAAAAUAAGAUCAAUUGAUAUGUUUAUUUUUAGUAAACAUUCAAAAAAUACAAUUAUCGCGGCAUAGGGGUCGUCUAUAUUUAUAUUUGAAUCCAAAGUGUCCAAAUAUUUUCCAAACGUUUGCUUUGUUAGUGCGUUCCUGCAUUGACUACAUUAAUAUUUGGCUUGCGUGCCAGCGACGGAGACACUACAGUCACCACGUUUAGUGCUGUAAAAGCAGUUAUACAGUAUUUCAUGCCAUUUCCUAGUACUGUGGUACUGCAAAAGACAUAAAUCGGUCAAAAGUUUUAUUUCUUGGCUCAUUUAGUUGCAGGAGGCGCUGGCGUUUAAGUGCCUGCAGGCCUCUUUGAUACACUCCUCCGGUUUGAGGUUUCCUGACACGACUCUGACAGGGCUCUGCUUGCCUUGGAUGGCAGAAAGGACAUGAGUUGUUAAGGAUCUUGAGGUUUCCGAGUGUUUGCCAAAGUCAGUUCUGGCCUGAGCAGCAGCUGUAUGAAGUUUCUUAAACUGGCACGUUAUACCAGUCCACCUUAGCAUGGCAGUCAGCAUCACACACAAGUUUACCUUGAAAACUGGACCCCUUCUUCUGUAACAGUACCCAGAUCAAUACUGGUCCAGUAUGCAUGAUGUGGAACCAUAUGCACCAUCGUAAGAGCUCAUCAUUCUAAAAAGCGAGGUGUGUCCUGAUUGGCCAGCUAUCCAGCGUGCGAUGGAAAUGUUACACACCUUACUAUACUGUGAUGUCAUGUUCCGGAGCGCUGAGACAAAGACAUUUAGACCCAUUAUAAACAAGGUUUUAGGCAAAAACCUUUCGUCGAAGUUGUCUUUUAGUCUUUUAAAGUGUAGCUACUGCAGCUACGUUUGCACUGAUGUUUGCUUGCUUUUUUCAUUUCAUGCCACACAUGAAAUGUUAUGACACACAUGAUGUAGAUUAUGAUUGAUUUGUAUUCAAAACAUCACUUUAUAACUGUGUAUGUCAAGUUAAAUUUUUUAAAAACAUGUCUUGGGGCUGUUGCCAUUUGUCUUUGAACACAAGAAUGCAUAUAUUCCAAAUGCAUCUAAGAAAUGUCCUAUUGGUGUCAAAUGAACCUGUAACCUGCCUAAUGAUAUAAAACAUAUAAAAACA